AUUGAACGCUGGCGGCAUGCUUUACACAUGCAAGUCGGACGAGUGGCGAACGGGAGAGCAACAUAUCGGAACGUACCGAGUAAUGGGGGACAACUAAUCGACAGAUUUGCUAAUAACGCCUAUUUUUCGAGCGGCCGAUGUCGGUUUAGCUGGUUGGUGGGGCAAAGGCCUACCAAGGCGACGAUCAGUAGCGGGUCUGAGAGGAUGAUCCGCCACACUGGAACUGAGACACGGCCCAGACUCCUACGGGAGGCAGCAGUGGGGAAUUUUGGACAAUGGGCGCAAGCCUGAUCCAGCCAUGCCGCGUGUCUGAAGAAGGCCUUCGGGUUGUAAAGGACUUUUGUCAGGGAAGCGGUACCUGAAGAAUAAGCACCGGCUAACUACGUGCCAGCAGCCGCGGUAAUUC
rnacentral:rRNA from 1 species